rnacentral:rRNA from 1 species
CAGUAGCCGCGGUAAUACGAAGGGUGCAAGCGUUAAUCGGAAUUACUGGGCGUAAAGCGUGCGUAGGCGGUGGUUUAAGUCCGUUGUGAAAGCCCUGGGCUCAACCUGGGAAUUGCAGUGGAUACUGGAUCACUAGAGUGUGGUAGAGGAUAGUGGAAUUUCCGGUGUAGCAGUGAAAUGCGUAGAGAUCGGAAGGAACAUCUGUGGCGAAGGCGACUAUCUGGGCCAACACUGACACUGAGGCACGAAAGCGUGGGGAGCAAACAGGAUUAGAUACCCCCGUAGUCCCUGUCUCUUAUAC